GCCGAGGUGUUGGAAUGGCAGACAAUCUGGUCUCAAAAACCAGUGGGGGCAACCCCGUGCGGGUUCAAGUCCCGCCCUCGGCA
rnacentral:tRNA from 1 species